UUCCUACGGGGGGCAGCAGUGAGGAAUAUUGGUCAAUGGGCUUACGCCUGAACCAGCCAAGUCGCGUGAGGGAAGACUGCCCUAUGGGUUGUAAACCUCUUUUGUCAGGGAGCAAUUGGCGCUACGUGUAGCGUUAUCGAGAGUACCUGAAGAAAAAGCAUCGGCUAACUCCGUGCCAGCAGCCGCGGUAAUACGGAGGAUGCGAGCGUUAUCCGGAUUUAUUGGGUUUAAAGGGUGCGUAGGCGGUCCGGAAAGUCAGCGGUAAAAGCCCGGGGCUCAACCCCGGCGAGCCGUUGAAACUGUCG
rnacentral:rRNA from 1 species